CCUACGGGUGGCAGCAGUGAGGAAUAUUGGUCAAUGGCCGGAAGUCUGAACCAGCCAUGCCGCGUGAAGGUCAGUGCCCUAUGGGUGUUAAACCUCUUUUGUGCGGGAGCAAUAAUGGUCACGUGUGGCCAGACGAGAGUGCCGUACGAAUAAGCAUCGGCUAACUCCGUACCAACAGCCGCGGUCAUACGGGGGAGUCAAGCGUUAUCCGGAUUUAUUGGGUUUAAAGGGUGCGUAGGCUGUGAGGUAAGUCAGCGGUGAAAUGCCCCCGCACAACGGGGUGAGGUGCCAUUGAUACUGGCUUGCUGGAGUGCGGAUGCGGUGGGAGGAAUGUGUGGUGUAGCGGUGAAAUGCAUAGAUAUCACACAGAACACCGAUUGCGAAGGCAUCUCACGAAUCCGCGAUUGACGCUGAUGCACGAAAGCGUGGGUAUCAAACAGGAUUAGAUACCCGAGUAGUC
rnacentral:rRNA from 1 species